UAAUUAUAAAUUGUUAAUUGUUAGUAUGAUUUAAUUGUGCCCAACACUGGUACGAGGGAAAAUCAUCGCAACAGAAAAAAUUACUGAUUACGUUGAACGCGUAAUUCCCAAUUAUACAAUGCAGAGGCUCGACUGUCGGGCCUCACGCGGGGUAAUGCAAUCCCGAGAACCAAAAAUUUCUCUUCUAGGUUAGAAGACGAACGGAACUUGCAGUGAAAAUGUGUUCCGAAUUAUGCAAGAAACGCAUAGACCGCAUGAACGCAUUAGACGCAUCAACUGCCUCAAGUCAAAAGAGAAGCAGUCAAUGCGCUGGGAGGAGUGCUAAGAAUUCAGUACGGUUAGUACACUCUAGGGAAUUCAUAGCUCUCUCGAAGCGCUUUCGAAGCGCGCAAUAGCUAAUUCGGAACGACUUUCUAUGUACUCUACGCGCUUUAUGCGCAACUCGGAACGCACCCGGUGUGUUGCUCAGCGCGCAACGUGGGGAACUCUUCCUGGCUCACUUCGCCGGGUCGAGCGGUGCUGUCAGCUCAACUCACUGACGGGGAAAGAGUGCUUUGUCGUGUUUUCGAGGGCCUUUUAUACGGUUAGCUCGUGGGCGCGGGAGUGAGUGCGGUGCGGGGUGAGACGGCACGAGGUGGGGCGUAACGAUUCGCUUAUUGUUAACGGCUCGUGGCCCGGUGACUCGUUACAAAUUCUUUCGUUGAAUAUAAGUUGGCAAGCUUUUCUAAGACUAGUAACAAGUCUUUAAGCCUUGAUUCGUUUGACGGAUUGUGGACGGAACCGGACAAAUGAAAACACGCUACGUAUGUAUGUACCUUAAGUGCCAAUACGUGCGCGGGUCAUGUCACAUUUGUUUUAGGUAGCGUGAAAUAAACAGCUUGUAUUCCGAUCACAGUCUCCCUCAAACUCACUAUCUAGCAUGCCGAGUGUUUCUGUGAUUUCCUAUUUUUUUAAAAUGGCACCAAACAAUAAGAAGGUGAAGAGAAAGAAACGCGUGGAUUUGAAUGUGAUGCAGAAAUUACAGCUAAUAGAGAAAGUGGAACAAGGCGCCUCGGUUAAGGAUGUUUGUAAAAUUUAUGACGUAGGGAGAAGUACCGUCAU